ACAGUAAAAAUAAGUUUUAAUUAUGUCCCGUGAAGGUGAGCAAACUUUGAAGCGUAACAUCGCGCAUCGAGUGACGGCAAGCGUGGCUGGUUAAUAUCCAGAGGAAACACAAGCUGUUAGCGGUUAGCGAUGAUGUCUCUGUCCGAUUACACCAAGACAAAACCCCUAGAAGAUCGCCUUUCGCUCCUGUGGCCAACUCCACGACGUACGACGACCUGCUGGGGAUGUUGAGCCUCCAGCUGAGAGUCUGGCGUUUCCAUGGAUACCAUAACAGGAGAAUCUGGAUAAAGUCACCUGUGUCAGAGGAUGGGACGAUUUUG